rnacentral:rRNA from 1 species
AAUGAACGCUGGUGGCAGACCUAACACAUGCAAGUCGAACGGUCUAUAUUAACUUACGGUUUUUUAUUAGAUAGUGGCAAACGGGUAGGAGUAAAGACAUGGGAAGUCUACCUAGAAGUUUAGGUAAUAGCUAUUAGAAAUAGAUAGAUAAUACCAAAUAACACCUCGAGAGGGAAAGUUGACUUCGGUCUUCGCUUUUAGAUGAGCCCAUGUUAAAUUAGUUAGUUGGUAGGGUAAUGGCCUACCAAGAUGAUGAUUUAUAGCUGGUCUUAGAGGAUGAUCAGCCACACUGGAAUUGAGAUACGGUCCAGACUCCUACGGGGAGGCAGCAGGUGGGGGAAUAUUGGACAAUGGGCGCAAGCCUGAUCCAGUCAUGCCACGUGA